CAGUCGCCGCGGGAACACAGAGGGUGCGAGCGUUAAUCGGAUUUACUGGGCGUAAAGCGUGCGUAGGCGGCUUCUUAAGUCGGAUGUGAAAUCCCUGAGCUUAACUUAGGAAUUGCAUUCGAUACUGGGAAGCUAGAGUAUGGGAGAGUAUGGUAGAAUUCCAGGUGUAGCGGUGAAAUGCGUAGAGAUCUGGAGGAAUACCGAUGGCGAAGGCAGCCAUCUGGCCUAAUACUGACGCUGAGGUACGAAAGCAUGGGGAGCAAACAGGAUUAGAUACCCCGGUAGUCCCUGUCUCUUAUAC
rnacentral:rRNA from 1 species